AGAGUUUGAUCAUGGCUCAGAUUGAACGCUGGCGGCAGGCCUAACACAUGCAAGUCGAACGGUAACAGGAAGAAGCUUGCUUCUUUGCUGACGAGUGGCGGACGGGUGAGUAAUGUCUGGGAAACUGCCUGAUGGAGGGGGAUAACUACUGGAAACGGUAGCUAAUACCGCAUAACGUCGCAAGACCAAAGAGGGGGACCUUCGGGCCUCUUGCCAUCGGAUGUGCCCAGAUGGGAUUAGCUUGUUGGUGGGGUAACGGCUCACCAAGGCGACGAUCCCUAGCUGGUCUGAGAGGAUGACCAGCCACACUGGAACUGAGACACGGUCCAGACUCCUACGGGAGGCAGCAGUGGGGAAUAUUGCACAAUGGGCGCAAGCCUGAUGCAGCCAUGCCGCGUGUAUGAAGAAGGCCUUCGGGUUGUAAAGUACUUUCAGCGGGGAGGAAGGGAGUAAAGUUAAUACCUUUGCUCAUUGACGUUACCCGCAGAAGAAGCACCGGCUAACUCCGUGCCAGCAGCCGCGGUAAUACGGAGGGUGCAAGCGUUAAUCGGAAUUACUGGGCGUAAAGCGCACGCAGGCGGUUUGUUAAGUCAGAUGUGAAAUCCCCGGGCUCAACCUGGGAACUGCAUCUGAUACUGGCAAGCUUGAGUCUCGUAGAGGGGGGUAGAAUUCCAGGUGUAGCGGUGAAAUGCGUAGAGAUCUGGAGGAAUACCGGUGGCGAAGGCGGCCCCCUGGACGAAGACUGACGCUCAGGUGCGAAAGCGUGGGGAGCAAACAGGAUUAGAUACCCUGGUAGUCCACGCCGUAAACGAUGUCGACUUGGAGGUUGUGCCCUUGAGGCGUGGCUUCCGGAGCUAACGCGUUAAGUCGACCGCCUGGGGAGUACGGCCGCAAGGUUAAAACUCAAAUGAAUUGACGGGGGCCCGCACAAGCGGUGGAGCAUGUGGUUUAAUUCGAUGCAACGCGAAGAACCUUACCUGGUCUUGACAUCCACAGAACUUUCCAGAGAUGGAUUGGUGCCUUCGGGAACUGUGAGACAGGUGCUGCAUGGCUGUCGUCAGCUCGUGUUGUGAAAUGUUGGGUUAAGUCCCGCAACGAGCGCAACCCUUAUCCUUUGUUGCCAGCGGUCCGGCCGGGAACUCAAAGGAGACUGCCAGUGAUAAACUGGAGGAAGGUGGGGAUGACGUCAAGUCAUCAUGGCCCUUACGACCAGGGCUACACACGUGCUACAAUGGCGCAUACAAAGAGAAGCGACCUCGCGAGAGCAAGCGGACCUCAUAAAGUGCGUCGUAGUCCGGAUUGGAGUCUGCAACUCGACUCCAUGAAGUCGGAAUCGCUAGUAAUCGUGGAUCAGAAUGCCACGGUGAAUACGUUCCCGGGCCUUGUACACACCGCCCGUCACACCAUGGGAGUGGGUUGCAAAAGAAGUAGGUAGCUUAACCUUCGGGAGGGCGCUUACCACUUUGUGAUUCAUGACUGGGGUGAAGUCGUAACAAGGUAACCGUAGGGGAACCUGCGGUUGGAUCACCUCCUUA
rnacentral:rRNA from 1 species